GUGUGUGAUGUAAAGGCAUUUGAAAAGUCUGAUGACCUGAACUAGAUCCCUGGGACCCACAAAAUGAAAGGAAAGAACACAAGUCCUUCAGAUUGCCCUCUCAUCUCCACAUGCUCUGGAAUGCUCAUGCACACACACACACACACACACACACACACACCACUGUCAUCACCACCACCAUCAUCACCAUCACCACCACCACUAUAUAAAUGUAAAAGCCCAAUAAAUUAAACAAUAAACAACUUAGCAAUUUCAUUGGGAGAAUCCCAUUUGUUAAAGUAUUUCAUUGAUUCUAAGGGGCUUUUUUGUGCCGCCGCCCCCCCCCCCCCCAGGUUAAACAACUUUGGAAUCAGGAAGCAUUUCUCAGGUAACAGCAUGUAGUAACUUUUUAGUCCUUUUUUUUCCCUGUGGGAAUUCACAAGGUAACUUGCCUUUUGUAAUUGAUGGGAUUUGAACUUUAAAAAAAUAUAUAGUAAUUUUGUCAUUCAGAGUUCCUUUUCACAAACAAUAGAAUCUACACUGGAUAGUUAGAGCAGAGAAGGGACUUGUUAAAAGAGAUUAUUUAGCUAAGAAUUACGGGGGGGGGGACAUGGAAAUGGUCUUGAAUUUAAGCUUCUAGGAACAAGACCCAAGCCAUACUGAAUGCACAGCCCAGAGAGGAGACCUCAGCCACUGCUGCUCUGGGCUCAAUUCCCUGCCAAUCUUAACAGCUCCAUGGCACUCCUGUGGUAGGAACUCAUUAUUGCAACCGCUGAGAAAUCAUGGCCGUUGCCACUACCAGCCUCAAAGCUGGACACUUGUGUUUCUACCAACCACGGCAGAAAGUGAAGCCCUGUGUCAGCCUGCUUCCUGCCUCCCUCGAUCAAGGCUAGGGAGGAGGCAGAACAGUUACAAACAUUGACUUCAAACAACACAACACAUUUCUUCCUCCUACUAUAGCUCCAGCAAGGGCCAGGCUUGGAUGGAGAAGUCCCGUUCACUGUGGUCACUAAUGGACCAGGCUGCAGGGAGUUAGUUCUACCAUUGACAGACAGGGUCUUACUCUGUAGCCCAGGUAGGCCUGAAACUUGCAGAAGUCCUCCAGCCUCAGCCUCCCAGGAGCUAGGAUUACGGGUAAGAGAUUCCACCUCCAUACGUAUCACCUUCCUAACAGGGUGGGUUGGCUGCUCCUAGGCAAACAAGGCAAAGCAUCCUCCGAGCCUUCAAUCCCAGCCAGCACUUCAGGAGGCAAAGGCAGGAGCAUUUGGAUUCCAAAGCCAGCUUCAGGUACAUAUCAAGGCCAGCCUGGGCUACCUGAGACAUUGUCUCAAACAAACAACAGGCGCAAGCAUAUGCCGCUGUUCUCUGUCAUUGUAUUGAUCAAAUCUCAUAGCCAAACCUGACAUCAAAGAACACAGGAAAUCAAUCUUCCUUGUGCUGCUCUGAAGGAAAGAGAACCAGAAAUAUUAGUCAACUUUAGUCAUUUUCAAUUUAUUUCUGUUGUUCCCCUUGACACGGAAGUCUCUUAUGGGUGAAGAAGCCUGCUUGCAGACCAGCUUCCAGAGACGCUGGAAACACAUGCCAUUUCUGAUCUCUCCCCGCCCCCACGUGGAGAUAGAAAAGCCGUCUGAAGGAAGACAGUCAUUAACACAACGUAUAUUCCUGAACUCUACAGAAACACAAGAAAUCCGUGGCACCGCAUGCCCUGAACUACCAAAGAAGACCCAAGAAGACUCAGGCUUUUGAGUGGUUUACUCAGUCCCUCUCCAUGUCUUUGGGCUUACAGGAAGAGCAGACAAUGGUCCUUUUUAUACUGUCCCGGAAUAAUGUACUCGCUUUAUCCCACUCUAACCAACCACUUUACAAAGAGGUGCCAUGCCGUUUGGCCAUCAGUCUAGGGACAUCAAGUAAGGGUUCCCAGUGCUCCGGUGGCUCGGCGUAUCCCAGGCCUGAUUGCUGGUAACGCAGUGUCUUAAUUAGAGACAAGCAAAUAGCAGCAUCUGCUGCUCAGCAAGGAAAAGUAAUUGUCUAACUCCUCGAAAUCUGAGGUCAAGACUACAACAAACGGCCUUCUCCAAAUUCAAAAUAUCCACGUCCCCCUUAGCCACUUGCAGACCACCCAUGCUGGACCCUUUUUAUCGUCGUAUCUUCAAAUGCUUCAGCUAAUAUCUGGCCCAAGGUCUGAGAUGAGACAACAGACUGUACUUAAGUGGCUGCAUUGCUAGCACCUAAAAAAGACUCCCAGAUCCUCACACUGGAGCACUGUGUUUUUAUGAGCCAGGAGAAAGGAAAUACUCAGAAGCCGUUCGAUGCUAUCAUCCACCUAUCUCGGGUUGUGCAGAUCCAGGCACGCAGGAUCAAGGUCAGAAGUUGAAGCCGGGGCAGAAGACAGCAGCCAUUUCCAUUUUUCUCAAGUCACAAUAGAAAGUAGGGCAGAGAGAGGAGGUGCCUGGCCUCGGUUGAAUGACCCAAGUUGCUGCCCUGAGAGCACCUAGGGCCUGGGAUUGUACGCAGACAGAGGAGCUUUGUGUGGAGAACAAAGAGUCCCAAGGCCAGAGCCAGUCCUCCCCUUGUAGGGGCAGGGUAGGAUAGAGCCACUUCAUUCUGGGACAGGCAGGUUUGCUAUGUGCUCUGGCCUCCCUCCACCAAACCCUAUUACUGCCCUGCGUUUUCAGCCCUGCUCAGCUCACUGGCCCUCUGUGAUGCUGUCACCUACUUUCCCAUGCCCAGUGCUCCCCAGGUCCAGCCCCCAACCCCACCUCAGCCUUCUCCUCUCACCAUCUCACCCCCCAGGCUGGCUCAGCAAAGUCACUGUCAUCUCUGUGUCAUUUCCAGUGAUCAUUUUCAAUUCUUAUCUUGUUGACUAUUUGGCAGCAUCGAAGCUGAAUAUACCUUUUGGAAACUGUCCGUUCCUGUCUUCCAGGCAGACGCCUUCUCUGAGAACAUUUAUUCUUCCUACUAAAACAGCGUGUUUAUGAGGCACCUGUAUUCUGUUGGCAGUUUCCAUCCCUUGGAGAUACUCUCCUCAGUGCGAGACAGGUGGAAGGAACAGAUAAGGAAACCAAGGCUCCAGGCAACUAAGGAGUUUUCCCAAGACCCCAUAGCAACAAGUGAUAGGCUCUUUAUAAAGAACCCAAAUCUACUGCUUUGCCCUGACUCUAGCUCCGCUGGGUUGCCCUCAUCUUAACUCCUCUCCUUCGUGGACACUGCUCUCUGUCCCUGCCCUCAUUUUCCCAUCCCCUCCCCCACACCCCUUCUCCUGUCUGUAGCAAGCUUUUCUGCAUAGCUUCAGUGCCCAUUUUUUUUUGCAUUGUUUUGUUUUGCUUGUUUGUUUGUUUUGUUUUGACAGUGCUUUGCCACUAACCCAGCUCUCACUCCCUAAGUCCCAGAUGCUGCUUACUGUAGCUGCUGUUGUUACUAUUGUUACUAAGACCUGAGAUUUACAAUGUUUCCGUACGGUAGAUGUGGUGACAGACAUUGUUUGUUACGAUGUUUUUCUAAGGAGACUUAGUAUUAGAGAGGCUAAUCCACUUGUCUCCAGGUCAGCGGAAGCUGAUAUUCUUCUGAUUUUAAAGCCAUUGUUUGUUUGAAACACAGUCUUGUUAGGUAGCUCUGGUUAGCCUUGAACUCACCAUCCUCCUGCCUCAGACUCCCUAGUUCUGGGAUUACAUGCAUAUAGCACCACACUUGACUUAGUCAUUGUCUUACCUGCUGACUAGACUCUUCAGGGGGUACCUUUAGCACCUCAUAUUUGAAAUGCCUAAAUUUCAACCUGUCUGUCCUACACCAGUUGGGUGACCAUAGCAAGUGACAGCUUGUCCAAACUGUAGCUAUUAUCAGCUCGCCCAAUCCUGUCUUCUCAUGACAGCAAUUUUUUAUUUUUUUUAUUCUUUGGUUUUUAGAGACAGGGUUUCUCUGUGUAGCCCUGGCUGUCCUGGAACUC